UCAAAAGCAUUGAUGGGAAGAGUAGUAAGUUAAGGUUUUUAAAGAGAGCUGAUGUUUGGUGAGAUUCAGCAUUGCCAAGAUUUAUGAAUAUGGCCCCUGAGCUUAAUAUUUGAAGAAUAGUAGGAUAUUACGUAAGCAGGCGUUACACUGCAGGGUGAUAAAUAACUGUAAGUUAGAGUCACUUGUUGAGAUUUUCAUUGUGAGAUGAAAGUGAAUUAGAGUGGUAAAGCGAAAUCACGCCUCUAAA
rnacentral:ncRNA from 1 species